GAUUUAAGUAAGUUAGAUUAACGAGACCUUUCUUUUAUGCUCAUUCCUAAAACGUUCCUAGCCAUAGGAUUGCCAAUUGGGCAUUGACAAUCCGCUAAAGUUAGUAUGUGUUAUGUCAACUCAAGCGUGAGUAUGACUAGUCUUAAGUCAUUUAGUGUUGGACACUAAGACAAACACGUAGGUGCUUGAAAGAGUAAUCGAGUACACUGAACAACGAUCAAAAGAGAGUUCGAACAUACAUGUCAUGUAAGAACUCGUAAGUUGCAAUAUACAAAGUAGUCAUUUGACCUGAGGCAUCAUAGAUGUCUAAUGGUUAGGUCCUUGAUCUUUGAUCAUGUCAAAGGAAUUCCAUCAAGAGUGUCCACGGCAUUGUUGGGGUCAAGCUAUCUAGUCAUGUAGGCAUAUGAAUGCACAACAAGGGAUCUCUAACCUUCCAUAGUGGAAGGAGAAUACUCUAAGAUAUUAUUCAGGAGUCUUUGGCCAAAGCAUACGAAUAUGACUUAGGAAGUAUGUUCCAAAUCAUAUUCAAUUGAAUCAUAUGGAUAAGUAUUACAUUGGAUAGUAGACAUGAAACAAACUAUCACUCAAACAAUGUGAUUAAGAGUAUUGUAUUAGAGAAUGAUCGUAUUGCAUUGAAAUCGUAACUGGAUAGGUUCUCCAACCAAUUCUAUUUAGCUUGGGUAGCCAUGACAUGCUACUAGGUGUCACUCAUGGUUUGUGGAAGCCCUGAAGAUUAGCAAACACUAAUCAUGCUGUUUCAAUUCACAAUCGAUCGUUAAGAGUAACAAUCACCCACUGCCUCGCUAAUUGGAACCUAAUGGAUCGUACACCGAGUAAGGAUGAAAGUGAAGAAAUAUAAAUGAGAUGGAUAAGCAAUUAUAUGGUUUAAUUGAGAAUGGUCAAGAUUAAUUAAUUAGUUAAUUAAUUUUACGAAAGGUUCGUAUUGGGCUUUUAAGUUGGUUUUGGGUUUCGGGGCCCAAAAGUGUUUUGGCCCACAAAGCCCAUUAUGUUUAAGUUGUAUGACAACUAAAAAAAAAUGGGCAAUUAGCCCAAUAACAAAGACAAGG
rnacentral:lncRNA from 1 species